rnacentral:rRNA from 1 species
AAUUCGAUUGAGUUUGAUCAUGGCUCAGGAUAAACGCUGGCGGCGUGCCUAAUGCAUGCAAGUCGAACGGAUAGUUUCGCAAGAGACUAUUAGUGGCAAACGGGUGAGUAACACGUGGGAAUCUACCUUAAAGUGGGGAAUAACUGCUCGAAAGAGUAGCUAAUACCGCAUGUGGUCGAAGGACUAAAGCUUUCGCAAGAGGGUGCUUUAAGAUGAGCCUGCGUCUGAUUAGCUAGUUGGUGGGGUAAAGGCUUACCAAGGCAAUGAUCAGUAGCUGGUCUGAGAGGACGGACAGCCACACUGGGACUGCGACACGGCCCAGACUCCUACGGGAGGCAGCAGCAAGGAAUUUUCGGCAAUGGGGGCAACCCUGACCGAGCAACGCCGCGUGGGGGAUGAAGGUUUUCGGAUUGUAAACCCCUUUUCAGUGGGAAGACUAAAAAGAGGACGGUACCACUGGAAUAAGCAUCGGCUAACUACGUGCCAGCAGCCGCGGUAAUACGUAGGAUGCAAGCGUUGUCCGGAAUUAUUGGGCGUAAAGAGCGCGCAGGCGGCCAUUCAAGUCAGAUGUGAAAGACUCCGGCUUAACCGGGGUUAGUCGUCUGAAACUGAAUAGCUAGAGUGGCAGAGAGGAAAGCGGAAUUCCCGGUGUAGUGGUGAAAUGCGUAGAUAUCGGGAGGAACACCAGAGGCGAAGG